rnacentral:rRNA from 2 species
AGCGUACACGGUGGAUGCCCUGGCAGUCAGAGGCGAUGAAGGGCGUGCUAAUCUGCGAUAAGCGCCGGUAAGGUGAUAUGAACCGUUAUAACCGGCGAUACCCGAAUGGGGAAACCCAGUGUGAUUCGUCACACUAUCAUUAACUGAAUCCAUAGGUUAAUGAGGCGAACCGGGGGAACUGAAACAUCUAAGUACCCCGAGGAAAAGAAAUCAACCGAGAUUCCCCCAGUAGCGGCGAGCGAACGGGGAGGAGCCCAGAGCCUGAAUCAGCAUGUGUGUUAGUGGAAGCGUCUGGAAAGGCGCGCGAUACAGGGUGACAGCCCCGUACACAAAAGCGCAUGUGCUGUGAGCUCGAUGAGUAGGGCGGGACACGUGGUAUCCUGUCUGAAUAUGGGGGGACCAUCCUCCAAGGCUAAAUACUCCUGACUGACCGAUAGUGAACCAGUACCGUGAGGGAAAGGCGAAAAGAACCCCGGCGAGGGGAGUGAAAAAGAACCUGAAACCGUGUACGUACAAGCAGUGGGAGCACCCUUCGGGGUGUGACUGCGUACCUUUUGUAUAAUGGGUCAGCGACUUAUAUUCUGUAGCAAGGUUAACCGUAUAGGGGAGCCGGAGGGAAACCGAGUCUUAAUUGGGCGUUAAGUUGCAGGGUAUAGACCCGAAACCCGGUGAUCUAGCCAUGGGCAGGUUGAAGGUUGGGUAACACUAACUGGAGGACCGAACCGACUAAUGUUGAAAAAUUAGCGGAUGACCUGUGGCUGGGGGUGAAAGGCCAAUCAAACCGGGAGAUAGCUGGUUCUCCCCGAAAGCUAUUUAGGUAGCGCCUCGUGAAUUCAUCUCCGGGGGUAGAGCACUGUUUCGGCUAGGGGGCCAUCCCGGCUUACCAACCCGAUGCAAACUGCGAAUACCGGAGAAUGUUAUCACGGGAGACACACGGCGGGUGCUAACGUCCGUCGUGAAGAGGGAAACAACCCAGACCGCCAGCUAAGGUCCCAAAGUCAUGGUUAAGUGGGAAACGAUGUGGGAAGGCCCAGACAGCCAGGAUGUUGGCUUAGAAGCAGCCAUCAUUUAAAGAAAGCGUAAUAGCUCACUGGUCGAGUCGGCCUGCGCGGAAGAUGUAACGGGGCUAAACCAUGCACCGAAGCUGCGGCAGCGAACGUAUCACCCAAGACAACUUUACGGAGUUGACGAUUGACGGAGCGAAGCGACGUCAAAGCGUUCAUUAAAGUCGAGUUGGCUUAGGGAUACGUUCGUUGGGUAGGGGAGCGUUCUGUAAGCCUGUGAAGGUGUGUCGUGAGGCAUGCUGGAGGUAUCAGAAGUGCGAAUGCUGACAUAAGUAACGAUAAAGCGGGUGAAAAGCCCGCUCGCCGGAAGACCAAGGGUUCCUGUCCAACGUUAAUCGGGGCAGGGUGAGUCGACCCCUAAGGCGAGGCCGAAAGGCGUAGUCGAUGGGAAACGGGUUAAUAUUCCCGUACUUGGUGUUACUGCGAAGGGGGGACGGAGAAGGCUAUGUUGGCCGGGCGACGGUUGUCCCGGUUUAAGCGUGUAGGUGUGUGUUCCAGGUAAAUCCGGUUCACUUUAACACUGAGGCGUGACGACGAGGCACUACGGUGCUGAAGCAACAAAUGCCCUGCUUCCAGGAAAAGCCUCUAAGCAUCAGGUAACACGAAAUCGUACCCCAAACCGACACAGGUGGUCAGGUAGAGAAUACCAAGGCGCUUGAGAGAACUCGGGUGAAGGAACUAGGCAAAAUGGUGCCGUAACUUCGGGAGAAGGCACGCUGACACGUAGGUGAAGUGAUUUACUCAUGGAGCUGAAGUCAGUCGAAGAUACCAGCUGGCUGCAACUGUUUAUUAAAAACACAGCACUGUGCAAACACGAAAGUGGACGUAUACGGUGUGACGCCUGCCCGGUGCCGGAAGGUUAAUUGAUGGGGUCAGCGUAAGCGAAGCUCCUGAUCGAAGCCCCGGUAAACGGCGGCCGUAACUAUAACGGUCCUAAGGUAGCGAAAUUCCUUGUCGGGUAAGUUCCGACCUGCACGAAUGGCGUAAUGAUGGCCAGGCUGUCUCCACCCGAGACUCAGUGAAAUUGAACUCGCUGUGAAGAUGCAGUGUACCCGCGGCAAGACGGAAAGACCCCGUGAACCUUUACUAUAGCUUGACACUGAACAUUGAGCCUUGAUGUGUAGGAUAGGUGGGAGGCUUUGAAGUGUGGACGCCAGUCUGCAUGGAGCCGACCUUGAAAUACCACCCUUUAAUGUUUGAUGUUCUAACGUGGACCCGUAAUCCGGGUUGCGGACAGUGUCUGGUGGGUAGUUUGACUGGGGCGGUCUCCUCCUAAAGAGUAACGGAGGAGCACGAAGGUUGGCUAAUCCUGGUCGGACAUCAGGAGGUUAGUGCAAUGGCAUAAGCCAGCUUGACUGCGAGCGUGACGGCGCGAGCAGGUGCGAAAGCAGGUCAUAGUGAUCCGGUGGUUCUGAAUGGAAGGGCCAUCGCUCAACGGAUAAAAGGUACUCCGGGGAUAACAGGCUGAUACCGCCCAAGAGUUCAUAUCGACGGCGGUGUUUGGCACCUCGAUGUCGGCUCAUCACAUCCUGGGGCUGAAGUAGGUCCCAAGGGUAUGGCUGUUCGCCAUUUAAAGUGGUACGCGAGCUGGGUUUAGAACGUCGUGAGACAGUUCGGUCCCUAUCUGCCGUGGGCGCUGGAGAACUGAGGGGGGCUGCUCCUAGUACGAGAGGACCGGAGUGGACGCAUCACUGGUGUUCGGGUUGUCAUGCCAAUGGCACUGCCCGGUAGCUAAAUGCGGAAGAGAUAAGUGCUGAAAGCAUCUAAGCACGAAACUUGCCCCGAGAUGAGUUCU